AGCUUUGCGCAGUGGCAGUAUUGUAGCCAAUGAGGUUUAUCAGAGGCACGAUUAUUGCUAAUUGAAAACUUCCCAAUACCCCACCAUGAUGACUUGAAAUACAGUCGGCUUUGGUUAAAAAAAA
rnacentral:snRNA from 1 species